rnacentral:rRNA from 1 species
CACGGGGGGAGCAAGCGUUGUUCGGAAUCACUGGGCGUAAAGGGCGUGUAGGCGGUCAAGUAAGUGGAAUGUGAAAGCCCCCGGCUUACCCGGGGAUCUGCAUCCCAAACUGCUUGGCUUGAGUACGGGAGAGGAUAGGGGAAUUCCUGGUGUAGCAGUGAAAUGCGUAGAUAUCAGGAGGAACACCGGUGGCGAAGGCGCCUAUCUGGCCCGAUACUGACGCUGAGGCGCGAAAGCUAGGGGAGCAAACGGG